UACGUAGGGGCAAGCGUUGUCCGGAAUGAUUGGGCGUAAAGGGCGCGUAGGUGGCUUUGUAAGUCUGGAGUGAAAGUCCUCUUUUCAAGGGAGGAAUUGCUUUGGAAACUAUAGAGCUUGAGUGCAGGAGAGGUUAUCGGAAUUCCUGGUGUAGCGGUGAAAUGCGUAGAUAUCGGGAGGAACAUCGGUGGCGAAGGCGGGUAACUGGACUGCAACUGACGCUGAGGCGCGAAAGUGUGGGGAGCAAACAGGAUUAGAUACCCCGGUAGUCCCUGA
rnacentral:rRNA from 1 species